rnacentral:rRNA from 1 species
GAUGAACGCUGGCGGCGUGCCUAAUACAUGCAAGUCGAGCGAACAGACGAGGAGCUUGCUCCUCUGACGUUAGCGGCGGAUGGGUGAGUAACACGUGGAUAACCUACCUAUAAGACUGGGAUAACUUCGGGAAACCGGAGCUAAUACCGGAUAAUAUAUUGAACCGCAUGGUUCAAUAGUGAAAGACGGUUUUGCUGUCACUUAUAGAUUGAUCCGCGCCGCAUUAGCUAGUUGGUAAGGUAACGGCUUACCAAGGCAACGAUGCGUAGCCGACCUGAGAGGGUGAUCGGCCACACUGGAACUGAGACACGGUCCAGACUCCUACGGGAGGCAGCAGUAGGGAAUCUUCCGCAAUGGGCGAAAGCUUGACGGAGCAACGCCGCGUGAGUGAUGAAGGUCUUCGGAUCGUAAAACUCUGUUAUUAGGGAAGAACAAAUGUGUAAGUAACUAUGCACGUCUUGACGGUACCUAAUCAGAAAGCCACGGCUAACUACGUG